AUGUCUGGCCUUCCACCUCGUCUUCCGGAUUCCAUGACAUAAACCCUAUUGUUUUACCCCUUUUAUCUGUACACAGAUACUCAACGAUUCUGCUUCUCAUCUCCUCAGGACCUGAGAACAAAUGAAUAUUGAUUGAAAGGAGGUUUCAGUAUGAAUUGUUAUACUUGGCUAUCUCUUCUGCUAACACUUGGUCAGCUAUGGCCUUGCCUUCCAA